UAUUGCACAAUGGGGGAAACCCUGAUGCAGCGACGCCGCGGGAAGGAAGAAGAAUUUCGGUANGUAAACUUCUAUCAGCAGGGAANNCCNNNANGGUACCUGAGUAAGAAGCCCCGGCUAACUACGUGCCNNNANCGGCGGUAAUACGUAGGGGGGAAGCGUUAUCCGGAUUUACUGGGUGUAAAGGGAGCGUAGACGGUAAUGUAAGUCUGAUGUGAAAGCCCGGGGGUCAACCCCGGGACUGCAUUGGAAGCUAUGUAACUAGAGUACCGGAGAGGUAAGCGGAAUUCCUAGUGUAGCGGUGAAAUGCGUAGAUAUUAGGAGGAACACCAGUGGCGAAGGCGGCUUACUGGACGGAAACUGACGUUGAGGCUCGAAAGCGUGGGGAGCAAACAGG
rnacentral:rRNA from 1 species